CUGCAGCCCGAGUGGUGAUCGAUUUUAUUGAGCCUAAAGCGUCCGUAGCCGGACUAGUAAACCCUUGGGUAAAUUGGGCAGCUUAACUGUCCAAAUUCCGAGGGGACUGCUAGUCUUGGGACCGGGAGAGGUCAGAGGUACUCAAGGGGUAGGGGCUAAAUCCUGUAAUCCUUUGGGGACCACCAGUGGCGAAGGCGUCUGACUAGAACGGAUCCGACGGUAAGGGACGAAACCCUGGGGCGCAAACCGGAUUAGAUACCCGAGUAGUCC
rnacentral:rRNA from 1 species